UCUGGUGGCCAUAGCAGAGAGGAACCACCCGGUCCCAUUCCGAACCCGGAAGUGAAACUCUUGUGCGCCGAUGGUAGUGGGACGAUAGG
rnacentral:rRNA from 1 species